AGAACAUGUGACCAGAAGGGUUGUUCACUGGCAGUUGAACGGGUGACAGAGUGUCCGCCAAAGCAGGUCACACACCGUAGAAGAUAUACCGAAGACAUAGAAAGAUGAGCGAAAAUCAAUGCAGAGAGUGUGCUGUGAACCCGACGGACAUGAGUUCAAUUCCUCGCCACAGCGAACGUCAGUGACAAGUAACAUCAGAACUGGGCCUGCACCCACACCCGUUCGUCAACCCGCACGAAUCACCACAGGGAGCCAACCGUGCACAUCGGAGAUGACGGGGAAGGACAACGAACUUAACAAAAACAAGUGUUUC